GAUCAUGGCUCAGGAUGAACGCUAGCUACAGGCUUAACACAUGCAAGUCGAGGGGUAACAUGAUAGAAGCUUGCUUUAUUGAUGACGACCGGCGCACGGGUGAGUAACGCGUAUCCAACCUUCCCUAUACUAGAGGAUAGCCCGGCGAAAGUCGGAUUAAUACUCUAUGUUGUUCGAUGCGGACAUCUAAAUUGAACCAAAGGUUUACCGGUAUAGGAUGGGGAUGCGUCUGAUUAGGUUGUUGGCGGGUAACGGCCACCAAGCCAGCGAUCAGUAGGGGUUCUGAGAGGAAGGUCCCCCACAUUGGUACUGAGACACGGACCAAACUCCUACGGGAGGCAGCAGUGAGGAAUAUUGGUCAAUGGGCGAGAGCCUGAACCAGCCAAGUAGCGUGCAGGAUGACGGCCCUAUGGGUUGUAAACUGCUUUUGCCGGGGAAUAAAGUGCAGUACGUGUACUGUUUUGUAUGUACCCGGAGAAUAAGGACCGGCUAAUUCCGUGCCAGCAGCUGC
rnacentral:rRNA from 1 species